GAUGAACGCUGGCGGCGUGCCUAAUACAUGCAAGUCGAGCGAACGGACGAGAAGCUUGCUUCUCUGAUGUUAGCGGCGGACGGGUGAGUAACACGUGGAUAACCUACCUAUAAGACUGGGAUAACUUCGGGAAACCGGAGCUAAUACCGGAUAAUAUUUUGAACCGCAUGGUUCAAAAGUGAAAGACGGUCUUGCUGUCACUUAUAGAUGGAUCCGCGCUGCAUUAGCUAGUUGGUAAGGUAACGGCUUACCAAGGCAACGAUGCAUAGCCGACCUGAGAGGGUGAUCGGCCACACUGGAACUGAGACACGGUCCAGACUCCUACGGGAGGCAGCAGUAGGGAAUCUUCGGCAAUGGGCGAAAGCCUGACGGAGCAACGCCGCGUGAGUGAUGAAGGUCUUCGGAUCGUAAAACUCUGUUAUUAGGGAAGAACAUAUGUGUAAGUAACUGUGCACAUCUUGACGGUACCUAAUCAGAAAGCAAUGGCUAACUACGUG
rnacentral:rRNA from 1 species